ensembl:lncRNA
AGCUGUUUCAUUAAUUACAGCAGAAUUAAUUAUUAGUGGUUGAGAAUCAGGAUAUUAAUCCUCUAAGUUCUCAGUGUUGGUGUAUUCACUGGAAACAUCAGCAGGCUUCCAGAGGUGCAGAUAUUCAAGUGAAAAUUCCACUUCCCUGGAUGCUGUGGCAUGCUCAGGUUAAUUUUACUCAGGAAUAAACACAAAUGUGUUUACCUGUGAAUGAAACGGAGGUCAAAAACAUCAGAUGACAUCAAGCUUAAAAUCCAAGCAGGACAGAGAAGGUAAGCCAGUCCCAGCACCUGGAAGAAGGCUCCCCCACUGCCAUUCCACGUGCCUAGGGCAGAGAAGGUGAGCCGAGUGGGAGCCAGAAGCAACUCCCGCCCCCGUGGAAAUGAGAAGACAUGUAAAUAAGCCUCAAAAACAGACUUCCAGAUCACUUACAGCAACCCCAAAGGGAAGCAAGAUAGAAUAAUCUGAUACUCAACCACCUAUACUUUCUGAAUGGCAACAAAAGAGGAUCUGGGAAAAAUGAAAACAGAAACAAUUACUCAGAUAACAGCAAAGAUUGUGCUCAUGGUGCAAGAUAUGAUUAAUAAAUCUAGAGAGGACACAGAUUAAAAAAAUAGAGGAUCUGAGGAACAUGAUGGAAUCCUAACAUAGGAAACAAAUGGAAUCCAUAAAGCAGAUGCAAACAGAUUUCCAGGAGAUUAAAAACUCCAUCGAAAAUCUGUGCAGAAUGAACCUAUGUGAGGAUAGAAUUUCACAUAUAGAAGAUAAUAUUGCAAUUAGUGAGCAGAAAAAGAAAAAUUGCUUUAAAAUUGUAAGGGAACAUGAGAAAUCAAUCCAGCAGCUGCUUGACGAUGCAAAGAAGAAUAACAUAAGACUGAUUGGAGUCAAUGAAGGAACAGGAGAGAGUGCAGAUGACAUAAAAAUACUGUUCACAGAAGUGAUGGCAGAAAACUUCCCAAGCUGGGGAAAAGAACUUGACAUACAGAUAAGUGAGGCAUAUAGGACUUCAGCUAGCCUUAAUCAAAAAAAAAUCUACACGUAGGCAUAUAAUAGUUAGGAUUCCAGAAAUCCAACAGAAGAACAAAAUUCUACAAGCAGUCAGAGAAAAGAAACAAAUCACAGACAAAGGAAAGCCCAUCAGAAUCACAGCAGACUUCUGAAUGCAACCCUUCAAGGCAAGAAAAUCUUGGAGUGAUGUAUUUCAAGCCCUAAAGGAAAACAGCCUCCAACCCAGAUUGAUGUACCCUGCAAAACUAUCUUUCAAAAUUGAUGGAGAAAUAAGAUACUUUCAUGAUAAAGAGCACCUCAGGAACUUCAUGAACACCAAACCAGCACUCCAAACAAUUUUAGACAAUAUCCUAGGAAAAGACAAUGAGGAUCACAACCCCAGGAAGCCCAGCAGAAUGAAUCCAUUGGGCGUGACAAAUUAAACCCAAAGGGGGAGACUCCAGCAAAAAGAAAAAGUCAUGAUAAGGCUUUUAAAACUUGUAACUUCAUCUCCCUAAUGAAUGUAUAAUUCAAUCUUGUUAUUGUACUGAUUAGUAUUUUUCUGAUUCUAGAGCUGCACACCUUUCUUUGUGCUGUACUGGAU